GUGAGGUAGACCUGCCAAAUGCCAUGAGUUGAGACUCAGGAGCCCCAAAGAGAGAAGGCCCAAGAAAGGAGCUACCUUCCUGCUCCUGGUUUCGGUCCCUCUUAGAAUCUUAUGACCCUUCAGGUCCAUCAGAUACCAUUGGAUUCUUCCAUGAAAUGCCCUUUGGGCUUCAGCCUCAUUAAAGCAGGUUUCUGUUGCUUACCACCACAGUCAUCUAGAUGAAGGCAGACAGCACCACGUGUCAGGGGAACGCUGAGGAAUCCAGCAUGGACGAGCCAAAGCCAUAAGAGACGUGUGAAUUUCACCCCACAGGCAACAGGAGCCCCGGAUGAGCUUUAAGCAGAUGAGUAAUACAACCCAUGUCUCCCCUGAACUUGUAAGGGGCAGAGGCUCAAGGAAGGAGUCUAAUUCGGAGGCUCCAGCAUGAACAGUGCAGGUCUGAACAAAGCAAGGACGGGGCAGCAGAUGAGGAGGUGAGCUUGAGAGAACUUCAAGGGAAGACCCACAGGCCUUGGCUCUCAGGUGGAUCAGCAACGGGCAGUGAGAAACGGGGAGGGAGUCAAAAAGAAGACUUCAACCUACAGUUUGGACAAAUGGCUUAAAGGAGGCAGGUUGGUAGGUUGGGGAGGUGCUGCCUUCUGUGUUGGACUCGUAGUGAAGGCACAGCAGACACGUCAAUGAGUGUGGAAAGGGUAGCUCUGGAAGCCCGGGACUGUUCGGCUAGCCUAGAAACAGUUCUGAAGGUCAUUCUCAUUGCUAUGGCAGAGCAUGGAAGCCCCUGGGGUAGAUGGCAUCCCCCAGGGAAACUGAAGAACAGAGAAAGGACAGGAGGGGGGAGGGAAGAGAAUAUUGGAGAAUGUCAGCAGUCAAGGGACUGGCACAUGGAGAGGGGCCUUAAAUGGAGAUCAAAAAGAAGCCAAAGGUGCAGGAAGAAAGCAAGAGCCCAAGGAAAACGAAAGUUCAAGAAGGAGGAAGUGUGGCAGGUGAGAAAAAUGA
rnacentral:lncRNA from 1 species